GGAAGGUUGAGAAUCACUGCACUAGAUCAAAGCUAAGCUUGGAGGCUUAUCCUGUAUCCUUGGCACUCAGACUGAGGCAGGAGACCUCAGCAAGUUCUGGGCCAACCUGGGCUACACAGAGUUUAAGGCCAGUUUGGUUGCACUUAGUCCAUGCUUAGUCCAGCCAUCCUGACCCUCUGUUAAUCUCAGGCCCAGCCCCUGCCAAGUGGCCUACUAACUGGAGGAGUCUGGAGAUACCUUGGAAGUCGUCCAGGACACUGACCCCAUCAAACAGAAGGGGAUUAUGGCCAAGAUGCAGGAGUGAUUUUCAGAGACACCAGAAUGAAAGACAAAUUCAAAGCUCUGUUCUCUGCACCUGGAAGACCACCGCUAGCAAAGCCCUCUCCACGGUGCUGAAGGUACGGCCCCUCCUCACUGUCACUAAUGCAAAUCCUAUGAGGAAACAAAGCAAGAGGAACCAGACCUGUGGUGUCUGUCUGCAGCCUCACCCCUACUGCCUGAGCCGGGACACCCGACAGAAAUGUUCAGGUCCCAUGUAACACUGGUUAGCUCUGAGACUGACAAAGAUGGCCUUGACCGCUCCGUGACCUUGGCCUCUGCCUCUCAAGUGCUGGAGUUACAGGUAUAAACCAGGAAAAAGAAAAAUCAUGGCACAAAUAAGUCACAAUCAUAUCAAAGCAAAAUUAAACUUCAACUAUUUAAAACACAGCGUCUGAUGUCUUGGAUCCACUCACAGUCUUCUGGGCUCCUCCAAAGGGCUCAGGUCACUUCCGUAGCUUUGCCCUCUGCACCACACAGCUUGUCUUCUCAGCUCAGGCUGGCUUCCCUCCACUGCUGCUGCUGUCUUUGGUCGUCAUAUCCCA